rnacentral:rRNA from 1 species
UACGUAGGCAGCAAACGUUGUUCGGAAUUACUGGGCGUAAAGAGCGUGUAGGCGGCCAGGUAGGUCUGCUGUGAAAACUCGAGGCUCAACCUCGAGACGUCGGCGGAAACCAUCUGGCUAGAGUCCGGAAGAGGCGAGUGGAAUUCCUGGUGUAGCGGUGGAAUGCGCAGAUAUCAGGAGGAACACCAACGGCGAAGGCAGCUCGCUGGGACGGUACUGACGCUGAGGCGCGAAAGCCAGGGGAGCAAACGGG